AUCCCUGUAGCGAAAUGGAUAGCGUGUUGGACUUUUAAUUCGAAGGUCAUGGGUUCGAAUCCCACUUGGGAUG